rnacentral:rRNA from 1 species
CGAUGGAGGGGGAUAACUACUGGAAACGGUAGCUAAUACCGCAUAACGUCGCAAGACCAAAGAGGGGGACCUUCGGGCCUCUUGCCAUCGGAUGUGCCCAGAUGGGAUUAGCUAGUAGGUGGGGUAACGGCUCACCUAGGCGGCGAUCCCUAGCUGGUCUGAGAGGAUGACCAGCCACACUGGAACUGAGACACGGUCCAG